rnacentral:rRNA from 1 species
GUCUGCUCAAUGAUAUAUUUAAAUAGCCGCAGUACCUUGACUGUGCAAAGGUAGCAUAAUCAUUUGGCUUAUAAUUGAAGUCUGGCAUGAAGGAACCAAUGGGUAACAACUGUCUUAUAAAGUAAUAUAUAAUUUAUUUAAUAGGUGAAAAUACCUAUAGUAAGAUAAUAGACGAGAAGACCCUAGAAAUUUUAUAUAACAGUUAUAUUAUAUACUUAUUAUUUUGUUGGGGCGACAGAAUAACAAAAUUAACUUAUUUUAAAUUUAUUUGAAUUCUAUAAUAAGAGAAAAUAAAUUACUCUAGGGAUAACAGCAUAAUUUGUAAAAGUUUGUGACCUCGAUGUUGGACUAGGGUUUUUAAUGGUCAAAAGCUAUUAAUGAGGGCUCUGUUCGAGCUUAUUUCCCUACGUGAUCUGAUUUCAGACCGGA